rnacentral:misc_RNA from 1 species
AACGCAACUGGCGCUGAUCAUAUCAGCAUGUUUGUUUCAGUGUGCGCAAACAACUAACUAUCUAAAUGUGAGAGAAACUCUCUCAUGAAGUAAAUGCUCCUUGCAGCAGUCACAUUUUAUGUGAGCUGUGUGGAAGACAAAAGCCUUAUUUGCACCUGAAGUCAAGCAAGAUGACCCGCUGGACUUAA